GUGGGGAAUAUUGGACAAUGGGCGAAAGCCUGAUCCAGCCAUGUCGCGUGUGUGAAGAAGGUCUUCGGAUUGUAAAGCACUUUAAGUUGGGAGGAAGGGUAGUAACCUAAUACGUUGCUACUUUGACGUUACCGACAGAAUAAGCACCGGCUAACUUCGUGCCAGCAGCCGCGGUAAUACGAAGGGUGCAAGCGUUAAUCGGAAUUACUGGGCGUAAAGCGCGCGUAGGUGGUUCAGUAAGUUGGAAGUGAAAUCCCCGGGCUCAACCUGGGAACUGCUUUCAAAACUGCUGGGCUGGAGUACGGUAGAGGGUGGUGGAAUUUCCGGUGUAGCGGUGAAAUGCGUAGAUAUAGGAAGGAACACCAGUGGCGAAGGCGACCACCUGGACUGAUACUGACACUGAGGUGCGAAAGCGUGGGGAGCAAACAGGAUUAGAUACCCCAGUAGUCC
rnacentral:rRNA from 1 species